CUAAAUCACUAGUUGAAUUUGAGCACUUGUAGUUCAAAAUCACUUCAAACCCUGAAAUCGGAAAAUCUAUUCGAAACAAGCAAAGAUAAGAAAAAAGAUUACAAAAAGAGCAUAACCAAGGAAAGAGAGGUGAAGGAGUGAUAAUGAGCCAAGCCGCAACUGGGGUCAGAUUUGAGCAACGAUUCGCCUAUCCAUAUGAUGUCCAAAUGCUGUUCAAAGACUACCAUUGCCUUCAUCGUCGAAAGAUCUUCGCGUGCGUAUCUUGAACGAUUCAAUCGGAGCUCGGAUGAGGGAGUUAUGGUCAUUUUACGAAAGUCGCGCAGUCAAGCAAAGGAGGCUCCAGAAAGUUCACGCGGGCGGGUGUUUUGUUAUAUGAAAACACCCGACCGGGUGAUUUGUGUCCGAGAAGAAUUCAAAAGGCGGGAUUUUGAAUUAUUUUGAGUGCCUUUUCAUAUUCCAACCCUAGUUUGAGUGACUUUUCAUCUCCCAAUCUCCCACAUCUAUAAAUAGGGCCUUUUGUAUCUUUUGUAAUAGAUUAGAGAUUAGAUUGAGUUUAGAAAAAGAGUGUCUCCUUUGUGAGAGUCCCUCCCCAUGUUGGGUGAGAUGAAUGUUUGGAAACCAAAUCCAUGGCCGGGCUAUGGUUAUUUGGUAGUUAGCCCGGGGUUAGCUACUUGGUAUGUUUGCCUUGUGGUUGGUCCGGAACUAGCCACUUGGCAAUCUUCACAACUAGUCUCAUGUAUCUAGUGGCGGAGCUUGAGUGAGAGUAUACCCUAGGGGCGGAGCUCGAAAGAGUAUACCUCUAGUGGCGGAGCUCGAACGAAAGUAUACCCUAGUGAGCGGUGUGGCUAGCCGGUGGGGUCGAUAAUAAUGGUUCUUUGUAGCCAUUUGCUCACUCCCCAAUUUCUUCCAUUUCGAUCCCCCUCGUCCAUUCUAUUUUUGUUCUAUCUUUUUGUGGGAUGGAACACCUAUCCUUUUUAGUGUAAUAUUUAUUUAAGUUUCAAUGUAAUGUGUUUUUAUGUUA